CCCUUAGACGUUCUGGGCCGCACGCGCGCUACACUGACGGAGCCAGCGAGUAUAAACCUUGGCCGAGAGGUCUGGGAAAUCUUGUGAAACUCCGUCGUGCUGGGGAUAGAGCAUUGUAAUUAUUGCUCUUCAACGAGGAAUUCCUAGUAAGCACAAGUCAGCAGCUUGUGCUGAUUACGUCCCUGCCCUUUGUACACACCGCCCGUCACUCCUACCGAGGGGGUGAUCCGGUGAAUGAUUCGGACUCUGGUGCUUCUAGCUGCUAGAUGCGCCGGAGGAAGUUUUGUGAACCUUAUCACUUGGAGGAAGGAGAAGUCGUAACA
rnacentral:rRNA from 1 species